rnacentral:rRNA from 1 species
AUUGAACGCUGGCGGCAGGCCUAACACAUGCAAGUCGAGCGGAGCGGCGGACGGGUGAGGAAUGCCAAGGAAUCUGCCUGGUAGUGGGGGAUAACGUCAGGAAACGGGCGCUAAUACCGCAUACUAUCAGACUCGCCUAUGUCGGAAGGGCUAGUUGGUGGGGUAAAGGCCUACAAAGGCGACGAUCCGUAACGGGUCUGAGAGGAGGAUCAGGCACACUGGAACUGAGACACGGUCCAGACUCCUACGGGAGGCAGCAGUGGGGAAUUUUGGACCAUGGGCGAAAGCCUGAUCCAGCCAUGCCGCGUGUGUGAAGAAGGGCUUCGGAUUGUAAAGUACUUUAAGUUGGGAGGCGUUACCAACAGAAUAAGCACCGGCUAACUUCGUGCCAGCAGCCGCGGUAAUAC